rnacentral:ncRNA from 1 species
CCCCCGGCCGGAUCCCGUGGGGGGAAUCCGAUCCGGGAUUGGAGAGCGCUUCGCCGGUCGAC